GGGGGUACAGCCCCUUUAAAAAAGGACACAACCUCCAUCAGCGGAUAACUCCAUGCACCCAGCCCUGUGGGCCUUAAAGCAGCCACCCCCAAAGAUUGCGUCAAAGCUCCAUCAACUAAAAACCCCAAAAACCAAUGCGACUCCCUACACCCCUAGCAAGCCAACCUAUAACAAUAGAUGAAUCAAUGCUAGAACGAGUAACCAGGGCACUGUGCCCCCCCAAGCGCCAGCCUGCACACCAUUAACAGCAAAACCUCAAUAAAAACCACCCCCUCCUCCCACCAUUGAACACACCCUGUCAAUCCAACUCAGGGGCGCACACUGGAGUGAUCAAAGUCUACAAAAGGAACUCGGCAAACCCAAGACCCGACUGUUUACCAAAAACAUAGCCUUCAGCCAAACAAGUAUUGAA
rnacentral:rRNA from 1 species